rnacentral:snoRNA from 1 species
UUGGAGGUUAAGAAGGUGAAGCCAGUUAAGACCAUGUGGCUCUCACCGAUACCCACCUCCUACAGCAAAGCAGCUGAGAGAACAACUCAUGUCAGUAGGAAAGGCCUGUGUUACUUCUCAGCCGACAAGA